rnacentral:lncRNA from 1 species
UUCUCCUUUCAUUUAACUCCAACUCACUAUUUAAAUACAAAGCUAGAAGAAAUAAACUAACUACUACUACGUAAGAUGUGGGUGCAACACACAUCCUCAAAUCAUGGAAACAUAACUACACUAAAUAAAAGACAAUAUAAUAAUAACUAAAAUAUUUGAACAAUGAAGAUGGUCUUCAUGGAGAUGGCCACGUCUUCUUCUUCUUCGUAUUGUAUCUCAUCAAUACUCCCAUCCUCCAAACAACCUUGUCCUCAAGGUUGGACACAAAACAUGGAAAGCUUGUCUGAACCUGUUCUAUUCAAACAUGUCUUACACGCUUGCUUAAUGAAGAAUCGCAUUGUGGUGGUGGAGGUAAUUGACUUGGGCUUGAAUUCCUUUGCUGAACACACGGGGAUGUGUGACUUCUUAUCACGUAAAGGUGGUGGUCUACCAGGGAGUGGUUCAUCUUCAACGACACAUACCUCCGAGACAUACACAUGAAAAAUCUUGUGUAGCAAUGAGUGUUUGGCUAGUAGGAGACUGUAAACAACUUGAUCAAACCGGUUGAUACAAAUCUUCAAACGAACCUCGUCGUCACCGUUACGCCCACGAUCAAACGGUUGUUUCCCAUAAGUACCAAAUAAGACAUCUUUGACACGACUGGGUAAAGCGCAAGAUCCAGACCCAUACUUGGAAGUUAAAUCGUUUAUGCUCUACUGUUGCUUGAAUCGAGAAGUGCGAGGCUUGUGUCCCAUCGGAGAAGAUUGUGCUCGUAGACUUUUUGGUGGUGCAGUCUUGUGAGCCAAGUUUUCUUGUGCACAUAGUGGUGCAUUACCACCAUCAGAUCUUCUUCCACUAAGUUUGAUCUUUUUCACUAUCUCCAUCAUAUGAUUCAUGGUUGCCUUGAGACUUUUAAAAUCUUCAGUUAUACUAACUUUUAUCUUUUGGAACUCGGCAUGAACUUUAUGGAGCAAGUCAGCUUGCACUUCAUGAAAUACGUCAUACACCGGCUCGCUCUCGCCAAUAGAGUAUGAGAAGUGAUCGUAAUAAUCUUCACUUUCAUGAAGUUGUUGAAACAUUAUUUUUUUUGUGUGGAUGAAAAUGAUUUGAUACCACAAUUAAGUGGUCCGGAUCAAAUUGCUUAGAACACAAUUUGCUUUGAUGCCAAUUAAGACCCCUUCUCAAAGCUAAGAGAGUUUGUGAAAGAACAAACUAAAUAAACCAAACAAGUUACUACAAUUUUUUCUUCUCCUUUCAUUUAACUCCAACUCACUAUUUAAAUACAAAGCUAGAAGAAAUAAGCUAACUACUACUACGUAAGAUGUGGGUGCAACACACAUCCUCAAAUCAUGGAAACAUAACUACACUAAAUAAAAGACAAUAUAAUAAUAACUAAAAUAUUUGAACAAUGAAGAUGGUCUUCAUGGAGAUGGCCACGUCUUCUUCUUCUUCGUAUUGUAUCUCAUCAAUACUCCCAUCCUCCAAACAACCUUGUCCUCAAGGUUGGACACAAAACAUGGAAAGCUUGUCUGAACCUGUUCUAGUCAAACAUGUCUUACACGCUUGCUUAAUGAAGAAUCGCAUUGUGGUAGUGGAAGUAAUUGACUUGGGCUUGAAUUCUUUUGCUGAACACACGGGGCUAUGUGACUUCUUAUCACGUAAAGGUGGUGGUCUACCAGGGAGUGGUUCAUCUUCAACGACACAUACCUCCGAGACAUACACAUGAAAAAUCUUGUGUAGCAAUGAGUGUUUGGCUAGUAGGAGACUGUAAACAACUUGAUCAAACCGGUUGAUACAAAUCUUCAAACGAACCUCGUCGUCACCGUUACGCCCACGAUCAAACGGUUGUUUCCCAUAAGUACCAAAUAAAACAUCUUUGACACGACUGGGUAAAGCGCAAGAUCCAGACCCAUACUUGGACGAGUUAAAUCGUUUAUGCUCUACUGGUUGCUUGAAUCGAGAAGUGCGAGGCUUGUGUCCCAUCGGAGAAGAUUGUGUUCGUAGACGUUUUGGUGGUGCAGUCUUGUGAGCCAAGUUUUCUUGUGCACAUAGUGGUGUAUUACCACCAUCAGAUCUUCUUCCACUAAGUUUGAUCUUUUUCACUAUCUCCAUCAUAUGAUUCAUGGUUGCCUUGAGACUUCUAAAAUCUUCAGUUAUACUAACAUUCAUCUUUUGGAACUCAGCAUGAACUUUAUGGAGCAACUCAGCUUGCACUUCAUGAAAUACGUCAUACACCGGCUCGCUCUCGCCAACAGAGUAUGAGAAGUGAUCGUAAUAAUCUUCACUUUCAUGAAGUUGUUGAAACUUUUUUUUUUGUGUGGAUGAAAAUGAUUUGCUACCACAAUUAAGUGGUCCGGAUCAAAUUGCUUAGAACACAAUUUGCUUUGAUGCCAAUUAAGACCCC